rnacentral:tRNA from 1 species
GGGUGUGUAGCUCAAUGGUAGAGCAAUGGGCUUUUAACUCAGCGGUUGCAGGUUCAACUCCUGUCACACCCC